AGGCUGGAUGUUGAAUUGCCUAUACUUCAAUCUGAACGUGGGAUGAGAAUGAUGGCUGUGCAUUAAAUGAACAACUCAAUAUGUGACGCCAUGGAGAAGUACAAGGAGCUCAUACAAGAGAACAAUUCCUACACAUCAGGCACUUCCAGCUCCUGCGUGAACGGACUCCAUAGAAGAACAAUAUAAAGAUUUUGCUGAAUGAGAACAAAAAACUGAUGGUGGAGCAGACUGUUCUGCCAGCAUCCUGUGUGGAGGCAAAGAGGUUCUGUGAAGAGGCCGGAAUGAACAUCUGUGUCCCCAGAGCCAAGCAGUUGCAGGUAUGCAUGCCUCCACUGACAUUACACUCAUCUAAUGACCAGAAUAAGGAAGGAUUAGAGGAAACAAUGCAGGACACUCUGAAGCAGAGAGAACUGAUCACCCAGGAAAGUGACUUGGGAGAAACAGUGUAGAAGAAUUUUGACAUCUUUGAGAUCAGGUAGGAACAU
rnacentral:lncRNA from 1 species